GACGAACGCUGGCGGCGUGCUUAACACAUGCAAGUCGAACGGUGAAGGUGGAGCUUGCUCCGCCGGAUCAGUGGCGAACGGGUGAGUAACACGUGGGCAACCUGCCCCAGACUCUGGGAUAACUCCUCGAAAGAGGCGCUAAUACCGGAUACGAACUCCUUGGGCAUCCUUGGAGUUGGAAAGUUUUUCGGUCUGGGAUGGGCCCGCGGCCUAUCAGCUUGUUGGUGAGGUAACGGCUCACCAAGGCGACGACGGGUAGCCGGCCUGAGAGGGCGACCGGCCACACUGGGACUGAGACACGGCCCAGACUCCUACGGGAGGCAGCAGUGGGGAAUAUUGCGCAAUGGGCGAAAGCCUGACGCAGCAACGCCGCGUGAGGGAUGACGGCCUUCGGGUUGUAAACCUCUUUCAGCAGGGAAGAAGCGAAAGUGACGGUACCUGCAGAAGAAGCACCGGCUAACUACGUGCCAGCCGCCGCCGUAA
rnacentral:rRNA from 1 species